AUUGAACGCUGGCGGCAGGCUUAACACAUGCAAGUCGAGCGGAGAUGAGGUGCUUGCACCUUAUCUUAGCGGCGGACGGGUGAGUAAUGCUUAGGAAUCUGCCUAUUAGUGGGGGACAACAUUCCGAAAGGAAUGCUAAUACCGCAUACGCCCUACGGGGGAAAGCAGGGGAUCUUCGGACCUUGCGCUAAUAGAUGAGCCUAAGUCGGAUUAGCUAGUUGGUGGGGUAAAGGCCUACCAAGGCGACGAUCUGUAGCGGGUCUGAGAGGAUGCUCCGCCAGACUGGCACUGAGACACGGCCCAGACUCCUACGGGAGGCAGCAGUGGGGAAUAUUGGACAAUGGGCGGAAGCCUGAUCCAGCCAUGCCGCGUGUGUGAAGAAGGCCUUUUGGUUGUAAAGCACUUUAAGCGAGGAGGAGGCUACCUGGAUUAAUACUCUAGGAUAGUGGACGUUACUCGCAGAAUAAGUACCGGCUAACUCUGUGCCAGCCGCCGCGGUAA
rnacentral:rRNA from 1 species